CCCAGCUGUAGGCAACUGUGUAUGUUACCUUGUACCUAGGCAAGUGCUACACUGCUGGGAGAAAAGCAGCCAGUAGCUGGUAGGCAUUCUGGGCCAGGCUAAUGCCAAAUUUG
rnacentral:snoRNA from 1 species